CCGGCCCACCACUUGUUAUCUCCCAAUAUCAGCUACAACAAUAAAAUAACAUUAACAACAACUGAUACCCGACAAAUCCCUUUGUCGUUCAACGUUAACAGCAACAUUCAACAACAGCCAACAUCGGCCAAGCGUAACACCCAGCAAAACAAUGACAAAAGUCGUAACACCGUUAGCAACAAACAACAACAACAUUAACAACACAUAGCAAAACGCCGUUAACCGGCAAAACCUCAGUCGCCCAUUUACCCCGGUUCAGCCAUCUAUGGCUAAAAAUCAGAUGUCUUUCACCAUAUUCAGUCCAUGAUUCACUUUUUUGGGUAGGAAUUAAUGCCCAACGUUCUUUUUUUUUGUCCCACAGUGGACUUCAAAAUUUCUUAAGAAAUCACUCAAAUUCGGGUUUGAAAUCCGAACCCUAAUUCUUUUCCUCCCUAAUUCUUUCUCCUAUAAAUAUAGGUUGAGGGAUAGAGGAAAGGAAGAGGAUUUGGGGAAAAAAAUUAGGGGUUCUGGAGGUGCAUGCCUUUAAACCUCACGCAACCAUAAUCCCGACGGAAAACUAAACUCAUAUAAAGUCACUGUAAUUUCGAGAGAUUGAAAUUGAGUUUUGACAGUGGUGAAGUCGUCGUCCACUCACUGUUCCUAUUCACUGCUUGGAAAAAGUCCAAUUGGACUCUGUAUCCCUUGCAUUUUCUGGGGUGCCAAAGAGGCCCAAUUUGUCAAGUUAUGCCUCAUUAAAGUCCUCAAAAUGGAUCAGUAUACCAUGGACAGCUGCUGGUAUACACAGCAUACAGAUGAUAUACGAGGUUUACCGGUUAAAGGUUGCUUCUAUAAGCCAAGAAAUGACGUUAUGAUGAAGUUGGGAGCAAGUAUACAGGUUUUAUAUGCUAAUAUACAGUGUAUAUACAGAAAAACACAAAGAAAAGAGCUAUGAUAUACAGAUGAUAUACACUUCAGAAAAUGGAUUGAAGUCCAUAAUCCCAAGCCCAAAGGCUGGGCAGCUUGAUAAAUGGGCCAAUUAAAGGCCGAACUUCAAUUCUUGUAUUAUUCUUUGUAGCUUAUAAUUUAGGAAAAAUUAAUGAAAGUAACAUAGUUAAGAGUAUAAUUGCAUUAAAUAACAACAUUUUUUCAAAAUUACAAUUUAUAGCAAGAGUAACAUUAUUUUGUCCAUAAAUUUCAAACACACGUGUUUCACUCCCUCUCUCCUAUUUUUACUUCAUUACUUUACCUCUCUCCUAUUUUUACUCCAUUACUUCACUCCCACAAAAAAACAUUUUACAUCCACUGAAGAUUUUUAUCUUCAUGAGCUUCGAAAAUUCAAAAUAGAUCAUCAAUGGUGUUAUAGGUAUUGAAUCAAAAAAUUAUUUUCGUACAUCAAUUUCAACAACUUAAAAUGAUUUAAUAUUGUUUGAUAUUGUUUUUUCAUCUUUUUUUUUUUUAGCAAAUAGUUUUUUGAACAUUUUGUAUAUGAAUUUUUAAAAAAAAUGAAGGCAAUUGUACUAGGAGAUCGAAUUAGAUGAAAAUCGAACUGAUCGAGUUAAUGUUUGUUCAAACUUGAUUUUGAUACUUUAAAUAUUUUUUUUCCUUGAGGCAAACAAUAAAAUGUUUCUCUUUGUCAUGUACUGUAUAAACAUACUUUGUAAUCGGUACAACCUGAAAUGUUUUUUUAAAAAAUUAGUUAAAAAACUCACAUUAGUAUCCUGAAAUUUUUUUUAAAAAAUUAGUUAAAAAACUCACAUUAGUAUUUUUUGAUUUUGCAUAUGUAUUUUUUAGUUCUGCAUAUGUAUUUACAGGUCUUUAUAUGUAUUUUCAGCUCUUUUAUGGUUGUAUAAAUAUUUUAUGCACAACUAUACAUAUAUCUUACAUAAUACAUAAGAAAAUACAUGUUUUACUGGAGUCAAAGUGUACACGUAUGACGGUAAUUCGUUCUAUUGGAGUAUUUUUUGAAAUACAAAUACCAAAAUAAAAUACAAUUACAUUUACUAAAUAUACAAAUGCAACUACAUCACAACAUAUAAUUACGAAUAUAACUACAACAUACAAUUAAGAUAAAUACAUAUCAAGAUAAAUAGUAUAGUUGUUUUAUACUGUGUUAAGAUAUGCAUUUGUAUUUUUUAUUUAAUAUGACAAUGAUAUGUACUUUGUAAAUACAUGAGUUUAUAUAUGUAUGUUUUAUAUGAUAAUAUACACUUUGGACCAGAUAUGUAUUUUGAAAAUAUAUAUGUGGGGAUAUAUGUAUUUGUUAUAAUGUAAUAUGUAUGAUGUAAUAGAAACAUAUGCAUAUUAUGUAGUUUUUUUUUUUUUUUUUUGUGAGAAGUACAUGUAAUAUAGAUUUAUGUCAUUUUUUGGGUCUAUAGUUUCCACGUGAUCAAAUAUUCAUGGCAAGGGCACUUUCAAAAUUUGCACCACAUAUAGGAUGUCACACGGUCAACGAUAUUGAAGAACAUAUUAAGGCUAUGUUAUCAAAAGAGCAGUACAAGAAUUUUUCGUCAUAAGAAUAUUUUUGA